rnacentral:misc_RNA from 1 species
CAAUUCUAAAGCCAACUGAUACCCACUCUUCACCGUGUAUAUACCCUGUGAUUCAUAAUGCCACAUUAACUCAUCACUCAUGAAACAUGCCCGGAGAAAUAGAUUGAAUUUGCUUUGCAUCAAUUAGGUAAAAAAUGAUGGACAGGAGGUCCCUCUUCCAAACCUAACUUUCCUCAUCAAUUAAUUGUGAAACAGUAGCAUCUAAAGGAAUAUAAGUUGGGGGG